CGCCAUCACGCGGGAGAGACCCGGACACCGAGCCGGGCGCCGAAGGAGCAGCACCUCCCCGUCAAUCUCUCAGGCAACCGGGACCGCGUGAGCUCC
rnacentral:ncRNA from 2 species